UACGGAGGGUGCAAACGUUGCUCGGAAUUAUUGGGCGUAAAGCGCACGUAGGCGGCCUGUUAUGUCCGGUGUGAAAUCCCUCGGCUUAACUGAGGAAGUGCAUUGGAAACUGGCAGGCUCGAGUACAGAAGAGGAUCGCGGAAUUCCCGGUGUAGAGGUGAAAUUCGUAGAUAUCGGGAGGAACACCAGUGGCGAAGGCGGCGAUCUGGGCUGAUACUGACGCUGAGGUGCGAAAGCGUGGGGAGCAAACAGG
rnacentral:rRNA from 1 species